rnacentral:rRNA from 1 species
GACGUAGGGCGCGAGCGUUGUCCGGAUUUACUGGGCGUAAAGAGCGCGCAGGCGGUCGUUCAAGUCGAGUGUGAAAGCCCCCGGCUCAACUGGGGAGGGUCACUCGAUACUGAUCGACUUGAAGGCAGGAGAGGGAAGCGGAAUUCCCGGUGUAGUAGUGAAAUGCGUAGAUAUCGGGAGGAACACCAGUGGCGAAGGCGGCUUCCUGGCCUGUUCUUGACGCUGAGGCGCGAAAGCUAGGGGAGCAAACGGG